GAAACCCUAGCCUCACCCCAAUCAAACAUGUUCCUGUGAAGUCCAUGGGAUGUUUUGGUGAUGUCGGUAACUGGAUCAUAAGAAGUACGUGAGAAAGCUUUAUUUUGGGUUUUUUAUUGUUAGGUUUCUUAAUACAUCCACAUAGGAAUGCAUAUCUACAUAUCUAUCUUAUUGGGCUUUUUUGAAGAUAAAAUCAUUUUGUUAGGGUUUUGUUUGCUGCUUUCGAUCCCACCUCCAUUUACAGGUUCGAUUUUUUCUACUUCUUUUGGUGACGUUUCCAUCAAUUAACAAGGAUACGAUUUUGAUUUUGGUGAUGAGUGGAUGCAAGUCUGAUUUUAUGUUCAUUGAUGGAUUUCUUCUCCAGAUCCGAUUGUAGAUAAAUUUCAAUUUUAGAUAAAUGCACUUUCUACAUCUUUUACUUAUGAAUCUUUUAUGGUCCAUAUUAGACCUGGAAUUUUGAAGCCUACAACAAUAAAAGGGGAAAGUUGAUCUUCUAAAUGUCUUUGAAGACGCAAGGGAAGGAGAGUCAAAGGAAGGAGAAUGAGUUUGUUCACCAGAUUUGGUUUAAAAGACAUUUGAGCUAAGGGGCACGUAUGUUCACAACAGAUCUGAUGGAACUCCUGGUGGCUAAUCUACACAGUGAGCAUCUUAUUAGUCUUCAUGUUUCUGCUUUUAAUUUCACCUAUUAUUCCGAGUUAUGGCAACUUCUGAUCUUCAAUUGCUUUAUCAUGCAAUUUCGUAGCUCAAUAUCUUUUUUGGUGGUAGGGGUUUCAUUUACUGUUUUCUGGAGCCUCCACAAAUCCAAUGACAUCAUGAUAUUCAGGGAAGUUUAUAGGCUUAUUCCUGAUCUGGAUCAUAGACUUAGUGAUGCACUAAACUGAAUUGCUUUUUAUUUUUUAUUUUUUUUUAUUUCUAUUAUUACAUGUUAAACUAAAUGGGAUUUUUUUGAAUUUCUAUUAUUACAUGUUAAGAAAUAAAUAUGAUGGGAUGAGUGUCAUA